CCACGAUGAUCAAUUAUUAAACUCAGUUUAAAGUUGUUUUUGUAUAAACUGCUAAUGCAAUUCCGUUUUUUUAUUUAUUCCAUUAACAUUCAUGCAGUAAUAUCAACAAAUUAAGAAAUUAAAACAAAUUAUGUGCCCUCAAAGAAAUCGCAUUCCGCAAAUUUUCGAUACAUUUAAAACAAUGUCUGACUGAAAUUAAAACAUAAUCAUGCUAUGAUAAUGGCACACGCUUAUUAAUUAAAAUGUGCAACUAUGUGGUUUUUUUUCGAGCUACUUAACAGUUUCUAUAAACAAUCCUGCCUAUAAUAAAUUGUUGCUCACGCCAGACACUUAAGACGUGCACAAAACAAAGGAUUUACAGAGAGAGAGAGAAAAAAAUCGUCACGGUGUUUGACAAAAAGCAUUCCAUUUGCAUUAUCUGUGCAUAUUAGUAAAGUAACAAACCACAAGCCAGGACGUCACUAAGUGGUAUUUAAGAGGCAGCGUCACAGGUGAAUGGAGAGAAGUGGAAGAACUGAAGCAUAGAAUAACUAUCGGACCACUGAGACAGCAGCGGAUUACCGAUCAACGUGUUCAGCAUAAUAUAUCUGCUAAAGGUCUGAUUCUUAUUAUAACCACUGCACUCUUUCCAGAAUGGAGGGAAAAGCUUUUAUUAUAAUGUGCAUUCUCAUUGCAAAAGUCCAAUCCCAAAGUACAACAAUCUCCGUAACAGAUUCAACAUCAUCACUAUCAUCUGUUAGUACAACCAACACCUCCGCAACAUCCACAGCUACAACUUCUUCAACAACCACUACAGCUCCUGCUGAAACAUUCACCACUACUGCAGGAGUUACCACAACAGCACCACAAACUACUGUUACAACAACUGAAUCCUCCACAACAGCCACAACAACAAAUGCACCCUCAACUAUAGUUUGUUCAAAUCCAUGCACAAAACCAACAACUUUAACCCCAACAGGUUCUACCUCUGUCACAACAACUCUUACUGAGUCAUCAACCAUUAGUGCACCAGUCACAUCUGCUCAGUCUACAGCCUCUACAGCAUCUACAGAGCCUACAGCUUCUACAGUGUCAUCCACAUCUGCUCAGUCUGCAGCAUCUACAGCUUCUACAGCAUCAACAGAUUCUACAAUAUCUACAGCAUCUACAGAGCCUACAGCUUCUACAGUGUCAUCCACAUCUGGUCAGUCUACAGCACCUACAGCAUCUACAGAAUCUACAGCUUCUACAAUAUCUACAGCAUCUUCAGAGUCUACAGCUUCUACAGUAUCUACAGCUUCCACAGUCUCAUCCACAUCUUCUCAGUCUACAGCAUCUACAGAUUCUACAGCCUCUACAGCAUCUACAGAGACUACAGCUCCUACAGUAUCUACAGCUUCUACAGUGCCAUCCACAUCUGCUCAGUCUACAGCAUCUACAGAUUCUACAGCAUCAACAGAUUCUACAAUAUCUACAGCAUCUACCGAGUCUACAGCUCCUACAGUAUCUACAGCUUCUACAGCGUCAUCCACAUCUGCUCAGUCUACAGCAUCUACAGCAUCUACAGAGUCUACAGCUCCUACACUAUCUACCGAUUCUACAGUGUCAUCCACUUCUGCUCAGUCUACAGCCUCUACAGCAUCUACAGCGCCUACAGCUCCUACAGUAUCUACAGCUUCUACAGUGUCAUCCACUUCUGCUCAGUCUACAGCAUCUACAGAUUCUACAGCUUCUACAGCAUCAACAGAUUCUACAAUAUCUACAGCAUCUACAGAGCCUACCGCUCCUAUAGUAUCUACAGCUUCUACAGUGUCUUCCACAUCUGCUCAGUCUAGAGCAUCUACAGAUUCUACAGCUUCUACAAUAUCUACAGCAUCUACAGAGUCUACAGCUCCUACAGUAUCUACAGCUUCUACAGUGUCAUCCACAUCUGCUCAGUCUACAGCCUCUACAGCAUCUACAGAGCCUACAGCUCAUACAGUAUCUACAGCUUCUACAGUGUCAUCCACAUCUACUCAGUCUACAGCAUCUACAGAUUCUACAGCAUCAACAGAUUCUACAAUAUCUACAGCAUCUACAGAGCCUACAGCUCCUAUAGUAUCUACAGCUUCUACAGUGUCUUCCACAUCUGCUCAGUCUACAGCAUCUACAGAUUCUACAGCUUCUACAAUAUCUACAGCAUCUACAGAGCCCACAGCUUCUACAGUAUCUACAGCUUCUACAGUGUCAUCCACUUCUGCUCAGUCUACAGCCUCUACAGCAUCUACAGAGACUACAGUAUCUACAGCUUCUACAAUAUCUACAGCAUCUACAGAGCCUACAGCUACUACAGCAUCAACAGUUACUACAGUGUCAUCAACAUCUCCUCAGUCUACAGCAUCUACAGAGACUACAGUAUCUACAGCUUCUACAGUGUCAUCAACAUCUGCUCAGUCUACAGCAUCUACAGAGUCUACAGCUUCUACAGUAUCUACAGCUUCUUCAGAGCCUACAGAGCCUACAGCAUCUACAGAGUCUACAGCUUCUACAAUAUCUACAGCAUUUACAGAGCCUACGGCUUCUACAGCAUCUACAGCUUCUUCCGAGCCUACAGAGCCUACAGCAUCUACAGAGUCUACAAUGUCUACAGCAGCUACAGAGUCUACAGCUCCUACAGUAUCUACAGAUUCUACAGUGUCAUCCACUUCUGCUCAUACUACAGCAUCUACAGAGACCACAGCUCCUACAGUAUCUACAGCUUCUACAAUACCUACAGCAUCUACAGAGCCUACAUCUCCCACAGUAUCUACAGCUUCUCCAGUGUCAUCCACAUCUGCUCAGUCUACAGCCUCUGCAGCAUCUACAGAGUCUACAGCUCCUACAGUAUCUACAGCUUCUACCGUAUCCUCCGCACCUACCGAGCCUACCGCAUCUACAGAGUCUACAGCUCCUACAGUAUCUACAGAUUCUACAGUGUCAUCCACUUCUGCUCAGUCUACAGCAUCUACAGGUUCUACAGCAUCAACAGAUUCUACAAUAUCUACAGCAUCUACAGCGCCCACAGCUCCUACAGUAUCUACAGCUUCUACCGUAUCCUCCGCACCUACCGAGCCUACCGCAUCUACAGAGUCUACAGCUCCUACAGUAUCUACAGCUUCUACAGUGUCAUCCACAUCUGCUCAUACUACAGCAUCUACAGAGACCACAGCAUCUACAACAUCUACAACAUCUACAACUUCCACAGCAACUACUGCAAAAAUAGUACCUGAGGUGCUAACAGUUCUGGAGUUUCGCUCUAAUGACACAUUUAUUAUUGCACUCAGCGAUAACAACAGUGAGGAGUUCAAGAGUAGGGCUAAGCUUGUCAAAGAUCAGGUGAGGUUAAAUCAAUUUAUUAUAUACACUGUAAUACACUAA
ensembl:lncRNA